rnacentral:rRNA from 1 species
GCAAGUCGAACGGUAACAGGCCUUCGGGCGCUGACGAGUGGCGAACGGGUGAGUAAUGCAUCGGAACGUGCCCAGUCGUGGGGGAUAACGCAGCGAAAGCUGUGCUAAUACCGCAUACGAUCUAUGGAUGAAAGCGGGGGACCGUAAGGCCUCGCGCGAUUGGAGCGGCCGAUGUCAGAUUAGCUAGUUGGUGGGGUAAAGGCCUACCAAGGCGACGAUCUGUAGCUGGUCUGAGAGGACGACCAGCCACACUGGGACUGAGACACGGCCCAGACUCCUACGGGAGGCAGCAGUGGGGAAUUUUGGACAAUGGGCGCAAGCCUGAUCCAGCAAUGCCGCGUGCAGGAAGAAGGCCUUCGGGUUGUAAACUGCUUUUGUACGGAGCGAAAAGGCUCUCUCUAAUACAGGGGGCUCAUGACGGUACCGUAAGAAUAAGCACCGGCUAACUACGUGCCAGCAGCCGCGGUAAUACGUAGGGUGCAAGCGUUAAUCGGAAUUACUGGGCGUAAAGCGUGCGCAGGCGGCUGUGUAAGACAGGCGUGAAAUCCCCGGGCUCAACCUGGGAAUGGCGCUUGUGACUGCACAGCUGGAGUGCGGCAGAGGGGGAUGGAAUUCCGCGUGUAGCAGUGAAAUGCGUAGAUAUGCGGAGGAACACCGAUGGCGAAGGCAAUCCCCUGGGCCUGCACUGACGCUCAUGCACGAAAGCGUGGGGAGCAAACAGGAUUAGAUACCCUGGUAGUCCACGCCCUAAACGAUGUCAACUGGUUGUUGGGUCUUAGCUGACUCAGUAACGAAGCUAACGCGUGAAGUUGACCGCCUGGGGAGUACGGCCGCAAG